UUGAGAUUAAUCUGGAGGUACGUUUGUAGCAGCUGAUAUUAAAGCCGUCGCAGCUGGUAUGCCAAGGUUUGCGAUUAAUCUAGAGGUACCAGUUUGCGAUUAGUCUGGAGUUUUCAGGUACGUUUGUAGCAGCUAAUAUUAAGGCCAUCGCUGCUGGGAUGCCGUGGCUUUGGAUUCCACAAGUUUGCGAUUAAUCUGGAGGUGCGUUGGGUGCAGCUAAUGUUAUAUCAGUCGAUUAUAGUUUGUAGCUUGUAUCUUAAUAAAUUAUUAAUUAAUUGUAAAUAAAUGUAUUUUGGUUUUAA